rnacentral:rRNA from 1 species
CCUACGGGUGGCAGCAGUGGGGGAUAUUGCACAAUGGGGGGAACCCUGAUGCAGCGACGCCGCGUGGGUGAAGGAGCGUUUCGGCGCGUAAAGCCCUAUCGGCAGGGAAGAAGAUGACGGUACCUGACCAAGAAGCCCCGGCUAACUACGUGCCAGCAGCCGCGGUAAUACGUAGGGGGCAAGCGUUAUCCGGAUUUAUUGGGUUUAAAGGGUGCGUAGGCGGACAGUCAAGUCAGCGGUAAAAAUGCGGUGCUCAACGCCGUACAGCCGUUGAAACUGGCAGUCUUGAGUGGGCGAGAAGUAUGCGGAAUGCGUGGUGUAGCGGUGAAAUGCAUAGAUAUCACGCAGAACUCCGAUUGCGAAGGCAGCAUACCGGCGCCCGACUGACGCUGAGGCACGAAAGCGUGGGUAUCGAACAGGAUUAGAUACCCCUGUAGUC